UUCGAUGCUUGUAUGCUACUCCCAAGAAUGCUAACAGGAGUUCCAUGUAUGCAUCGAGCA
rnacentral:pre_miRNA from 1 species